rnacentral:rRNA from 1 species
AGAGUUUGAUCCUGGCUCAGAAUCAACGCUGGCGGCGCGCCUAACACAUGCAAGUCGAACGAGAAAGUGGAGCAAUCCAUGAGUAAAGUGGCGUACGGGUGAGUAACACGUGGGUGAUCUACCUCUUAGUGAGGAAUAACCCUGGGAAACCGGGGCUAAUACCGCAUAAGCCUUAGCAGGGAAAGUCGCAAGACGCUGAGAGAGGAGCCCGCGGCCGAUUAGCUAGUUGGUGGGGUAAGAGCCCACCAAGGCAGAGAUCGGUAGCCGGCCUGAGAGGGCACACGGCCACACUGGCACUGAAACACGGGCCAGACUCCUACGGGAGGCAGCAGUGGGGAAUCUUGCACAAUGGGGGAAACCCUGAUGCAGCGACGCCGCGUGAGCGAUGAAGCCCUUCGGGGUGUAAAGCUCUUUCGUCAGGGAAGAUAGUGACGGUACCUGGAGAAGCAGCUGCGGCUAACUACGUGCCAGCAGCCGCGGUAAUACGUAGGCAGCAAGCGUUGUUCGGAGUUACUGGGCGUAAAGGGUGUGUAGGCGGUUCUUUAAGUUUGGUGUGAAAUCUCCCGGCUCAACCGGGAGGGUGCGCCGAAUACUGAGGGACUAGAGUGU